CCUUUUUUUCUUAUACGAGAAAGAACCAACAGGGAUGCCUCAGUACGGGCGAGUGAAGCGGCAACAGCUCAAAUUUGAAAUCUGGCUCCUUCGGGGCCCGAGUUGUAAUUUGGAGAAGAUGCUUCGGGGGUGGUCCCGGCCUAAGUUCCUUGGAACAGGACGUCACAGAGGGUGAGAAUCCCGUACGUGGCCGGUGGCCGCUCCCAUGUGAAGCUCUUUCGACGAGUCGAGUUGUUUGGGAAUGCAGCUCAAAAUGGGUGGUAAAUUUCAUCUAAAGCUAAAUAUUGGCCAGAGACCGAUAGCGCACAAGUAGAGUGAUCGAAAGAUGAAAAGCACUUUGGAAAGAGAGUUAAACAGUACGUGAAAUUGUUGAAAGGGAAGCGCUUGCAACCAGACUUGCGCGCGGUUGAUCAUCCGGUGCUCGCACCGGUGCACUCGACCACGCGCAGGCCAGCAUCGGUUUGGGCGGCUGGACAAAGGCCCUAGGAACGUAGCCCCUCUCGGGGGGUGUUAUAGACUAGGGCGCAAUGCAGCCUGCCCGGACCGAGGACCGCGCUCCGGCUAGGAUGCUGGCGUAAUGGUUGUCAGCGACCCGUCUUGAAACACGGACCAAGGAGUCUAACAUCUAUGCGAGUGUUUGGGUGCCAAACCCAUACGCGUAAUGAAAGUGAACGGAGGUGAGAGCCCUUAAGGGUGCAUCAUCGACCGAUCCUGAUGUCUUCGGAUGGAUUUGAGUAAGAGCAUAGCUGUUGGGACCCGAAAGAUGGUGAACUAUGCCUGAAUAGGGUGAAGCCAGAGGAAACUCUGGUGGAGGCUCGCAGCGGUUCUGACGUGCAAAUCGAUCGUCAAAUUUGGGCAUAGGGGCGAAAGACAAUCGACCUCUAUAUGCGCGCC
rnacentral:rRNA from 1 species